CGGCCCCCGGACCCAGCUCGGGCAGCCGUGGCCAUCUUACUGGGCAGCAUUGGAUGGAGUCAGGUCUCUAAUACUGCCUGGUAAUGAUGACGGCGGAGCCCUGCACGCAGC
rnacentral:pre_miRNA from 2 species